UUCCACGGGUUUCCGUGCCGCAGCUAACGCAUUAAGCGCCCCGCCUGGAGGACGUACGGCCGCAAGGACUACAACUCAAAGGAAUUGAACGGGGGCCCGCACAAGCGGCAGGAGCAUGUGGAUUAAUUCGAUGCAACGCGAAGAACCUUACCUGGGUUUGACAUACACCGGAAACAUCUGGAGAUCAGGUGCCCCAGCAAGGUCGGUGCUACAGGUGGUCGACAUGGCUGUCGUCAGCUCGUGUCGUGAGAUGUUGGGUUUAAUGUCCCGCAAGCGAGCGCAACCCUCGUUACCAUGUUCGCCACGCAGGAUAAUGCCAGGGGAUCUCAUGGGAGACUCGCCGGGGUCAACUGCGGAGGAAGGUGGGGACAGACUGUCAAUGUCAUCAGUGCCCCCAUAUAUGUCACAGGGCAUUCACACAUGCAUACAAUGGCCGGUACAGACGGUCCUCGCAGUAAUCCGCAAAGGUGGAGCAGAAUCUCACAAACGCCUGGUCUCAGUUCGGGUCAGGGGUCUCGCAACUCAGACCCCGUGAAGUUGGAUGUCGCUAGUAAUCCGCAGAUCACGCAAUGCUGCGGUAGAAUACUGUUCCCGUGGCCUUAGUACACACCCGCCUCCGUCAUCGUCACAGAAAGUCGGUUAACACCACAGAAGCCGGUGGCACACAACCUUUGGGAGGGAGCACGUCGAAGGUGGGACUGGACGAUUGGGACGAAGUCGUAACAAGGUAACC
rnacentral:rRNA from 1 species